GGCUGGGCUGGACAUGGCCACAAGGGGUGAAAGAGGCCCUGGGCGUGGAUGGCGGCCAAGGAGGUGGCAGCCUUGCUGGGGCUAAAUGCAGCAUUGCUUGGUGAGGAACCGAGGUUUUGGUGCGGGGGGAGUCUCCGAGCAAGACCGUGGGUGCAGGACCACUGCCUGGGAGGGGACAGCCUGUGUCCAUGCCGGAGAUGUUCCUGGGGAGCAAGGUGCAGGUUUUGUGUGAGGGGAGCAGGCUGUCUGCUGGAAACUCGGAGGUGUUUCUGUGCAUGGGUGCAGGGUGUGAGGAGGCAGCUGGGGCUGCCCAGGAGCCAUCAUUUGGUUUCAGAGGAGCUUGAGUGGGAUGACAGGCAGUGGUCUACACUGGGGCCACAAUGGACCUCUCAAUGGUUGGAUGUAGGGGCAUCCUGUGAGGAGCAACAGGCUGUGUCUGCAUGUGGCGGCCCAUGUGCCUCAGGAAGCAGCAGGGUGGCUGCGAGCCGAGGCAGCGUUUGGCAGUUGACAGGUGGAUUGGGCACCAUGAGAACAAUGCAAGGUGAAACGGGUGCUCCCAUGCGGGACCGUGCUGCGAUGGGGGCAGGCUGGGCCCUCACGGGGCUGUCCGAGGUGGGUAUGACACUGUGGAUUGUCUGCCCAGGACCUGCCACAGAACCAGUUUAAAAAAUACCGGGAAGAUGGAUGGUCAGACAACUGGUGAACCCAGAGACAAAGCUAUUCCAUAAGCCUCUUUUCCUUAGGUAAAGAAUUAAGUCAGAAAGUGUUGAAGUAGUUAAUUUUAAAAUGUACAAGCUGGAAUGCUUUAGCAUUUUGGGUUGGAGUCAGGAUUUUGGAUGCUGUUCUUAAACCUGAGGCAUUGAUUGUGUCAGCUUCAGCCAUUUCAAAGCACGGUACAGUUCUCAAAGUUUCUUGAAAAUUGGUGCCACGGUAAGAGGGAUGAACAUGAAUCAGUUCCUGCAUUUAGGGAGAGGGAAACAGAAAUCGGCUGUUUUACUUAUUGCUUGGCCAGGUGGCCAUUAUGGCCAUUCAAAAUAAAUUUACAAAUACCAUUUACA
rnacentral:lncRNA from 1 species